GUGUCAGCCGCCGCGGUAAUACGUAGGUGGCAAGCGUUGUCCGGAAUUAUUGGGCGUAAAGCGCGCGCAGGCGGUUUCUUAAGUCUGAUGUGAAAUCUUGCGGCUCAACCGCAAAAGGUCAUUGGAAACUGGGGAACUUGAGUGCAGAAGAGGAGAGUAGAAUUACACGUGUAGCGGUGAAAUGCGUAGAGAUUUGUAGGAAUACCGGUGGAGAAGGCGGCUCUCU
rnacentral:rRNA from 1 species